UACGGAGGGGGUUAGCGUUGUUCGGAAUUACUGGGCGUAAAGCGCGCGUAGGCGGAUUGGAAAGUUGGGGGUGAAAUCCCGGGGCUCAACCUCGGAACUGCCUCCAAAACUCCCAGUCUUGAGUUCGAGAGAGGUGAGUGGAACUCCGAGUGUAGAGGUGAAAUUCGUAGAUAUUCGGAAGAACUCAAGUGGCGAAGGCGGCUCACUGGCUCGAUACUGACGCUGAGGUGCGAAAGUGUGGGGAGCAAACAGG
rnacentral:rRNA from 1 species